UGCUUCUAGAUGUUCACAAAUGAAUGAUCAGCAAAUUAGUAUAAUAGAUUUGAGUGACUCGGAAACUGAGAAAUCACCAGAGCAUGCGAGGAAAGCAAGAGAGCUUAGAGUAUUUCUUGCCAGCAUUCGAGAUGACUUUUCAUUGAAUAAGCCAUGAAACUCU